rnacentral:tRNA from 1 species
GGGGUUGUGGCUCAGUGGCAGAGUGCUCACCUAGCGUGUGUGAAGCACUGGAUUCAAUUCUCAGAACUGCA